GGACAAGAGACUUCCAGACGGAAUGGAGGGAUGAUUUGGGUAACAUCUGAAACGCAGUCGCACAUCAACAAGCAAACGGGCUCCCAGGACGUGGUGGCGGCCUCUGUGGACUCGGUGUUGCUGAUGGCGACUGAGAGGAACCGGUGGGAGCGCCUCCCGAGCCCGCUGCUGCAGCCGAGAUUGUGGGACUGCACAUCACACUGGCUUCUUACUCCACCUGUCAGGCCACCCAGAGUUUGAGGCUGGAAGUCACACACACACAAUCGUUCAGCAACACAAUGAUCAAUUUCCCCUCUGAGGGCUUCAGCUGGAGAAAUUUUCUGCUGGGAAGCUCUAGGUUUCAUCCUCAAGGAGAAAGCUGGGACCAGUGCUUUCAAAAUUCAGACAUGACAUAAGGUUGGGUUGCUUUCUGCCUUAAUGUCAAUCAAUAUGUUGGAAGUUAU